CUUGCCCUGCACCGCGGCGACACAAAGUGGAGACAGAGCUGUGCACGAGGCCUGCACGCCCUGGGCUUUGCCAGCAGGCGGCAGCAUUGUCUGACACUUGGAGGCCGUGCGCGGGAACCUCUCCCUAGGGCCACAUCCCCUCUGGCCACUGCCCCAGGAGGUAGGAGUUAAUGAAAACAAUGUCACUUCCGCGAAAGGACGAGGCUCAAGUCACCGCAGGAGAGGCCAGGUGUCCCGCUCUUUGUUUUCGGAGUAAAGCAAGAGAUGUCAGCCCACGAAGGUUCUAAUUUUCUGCUUUUGGAGGCUGGGAAUUGAACCCAUUUCAAAAUCGUUUUUAACUUUUGAUUCUCCCUGAAGGCCAUUUGGUCUUCCUAAGUCCUUGUUGGGGUGCCUUGCUGGAAAAGUUUGGGAAAACAACCUGGGGACAACUGACACCUGUGCUCCCAGACAGCAGAUUCAAUGGCCAUGGGAACACACUAACGUUCUGAUAGAGGGAGCGCACUCUCUGUGGCGAGAACGCCAGUGCUCCCACGGGGAGACACAGUCUGAGCUCCUCCUCCAGAAAGUGGACGCCAGGGGAAGGUGGCAGGCAUGAGAACAGGGAAAGAACAGAGCCAGCCUGGCCGGAUUCCAUAGAGUGUCACAAUGAGGGCCAGGCAGAGCAGAGGAGAGAGACCUCAGGGGCUCCUGGCGGCUUUGCACUCAACAGCCUGUCCUCGGGCGAUCCAAACAUGGAGCCAGGGAAUGGAAUCUUAGAGCUGCCCGUGCCCUGCGGAGAUGGCCACUGAGCUGUCUUGCAGCAUAGCAGCUCCGUGAUUCAGAAGGCAUUUUUGGUUAAAGAAUGAACAAGGGAAGGGAAGGAAACGUUUGUGGAACUCAGGGCCUAGGCAUGAAGCAAAAUGGCUAUUCCUGGCACUAUCCGUGGAGGUCCUAGACAAGCAGAAACCAGAGCUGAAAUGCACCACAGUCAGUGGCUGUGCCCACAUAAAUGAAUAAGUAGAGGAGAGAAAGGAGGACAUGUGUCUCUGCACCCAGGAUGGGACCCAGGGCAGGCCGAGGGCUGCGUCAGAAAGAUUCAGUCAGGGAGGGUUACAGACUAAGAUGCCACUUGGGGCACCUGCCUCCCGGGUUCAAGUCCCUGCUCUGGCUCCCAGUUCCAGCUUCCUGCCAGUGUGGACCCUGGGACACAGCAGGUGAUGGCUCAAGUGCUCAAGUCCCUGCCACCCACAUGGGAGACCCAGAUUGAGCCCCAGUCCUCACUGUUGUAGGCAGUUUUGGAGUGAACCAGUGAAUAAGAUCUCUUUCUCUCUGUGCGUGUGUGUGUGUGCCUGGCUUUCAAAUAAGUAAAAAUAAUCAAGUGAGGGGAAGUGUAUCCUUCACAAGAGGUCUUCAAGUUCAUGGGCAAUGCAUAUUAUGAAAAAACUAUGCACAGAUUUCAAAGGAGGUCCCUGGAAGAAUCAGGAAGCUGUGCUUCAAUGUGCUCAAGAAGCUAGGUCCUGCUUCCCUGGUUGUUUGGAUUUGACUCGACACAAAAGUCCCCAUGGGUGUGAUCCCCAGGACGGCCCGUGACCAGGAUGGCAGCAACCAGGGCACUGCAGACCCGCCCAGAGACCUGCGGCUGCUGUCGUAGCUGCCAGCUCCCGGAAGUCAGGCUGCACACCGCUUCAUCGCUACCCUAUCCUUCCAGGGAGGACGAGCUAGAACAGUGCCGGAGACAGGGAUGAACAGAGGACGGUGUAUCCAGCGCAGGCUGGUGGGCGACACUCCUUAUGGGGGUCCAACUCCCAUGACUGCAGCUUCUAUGCUCCAUUGUGGGACCAUCUACGGAGGCCGUCGAGAGGGCACAGAGUGUCGCCGAGGGGGAUUCCAGGGGAGUGUGGACAUCCCAGCGAUGCCAUGAGUCCCACACACGGCGUGGACGCCAAGCAACACCUCGCCUUCACUGCAGACUCGGGUCGCCUCCUGCGCGAUGCCACCUCAGGCCCUGUCAGUUCCUGCUCUUGCAUCCGUUCCUACUUCUGCACCUGCCCGGAACUUGCAGAGAAACUAAGGAACUGUGUAGCACCCUAGCCAAGAUGGACAGAAGCACAGACAUGGAACACAGAACACAAAAUAAUGACUGAAAACACCCCUGCUGGGUGUUGGCUUUGGUCUUCCUUGUGGUGGGUGUCAGGGGAGGGGCAGCCAUAUGUGUAGGUGAGCGACAGUGGGCUCUCUGGACAAGAGCCAGCCUGGCCAGCACACUGCUGCUCACCCCCAAGCUGUGGAGGAGUGAGCAACGGUGACCUACGUUCAGUGAAGGUGGACUUUCACUAGGAAGGUGAAGAUAUGCACUCACUGGGCACCACGAGACAGCAGAGCAUCUCAAAGGAAAGGCCCAAGGAGGCCUGGCUCCUGAACAAGGAGCAGAUCGUGAGCUUAACCCGCAUCAGAGCGAGACUCGUCCCGGGGCUUCUCUCCUGGGCACUUUGCCUGAGUGCCUGCUACCCUGGUUCCCCCGCCAUCACCUCGGCAUUCACCAGCAGCCCUCAACUUCUGUGCUCUUUGAACAAAACAUCAGGUGUUGUAAAAGCCACUCUUUGGGCUGGCGCUGUGGUACAGUGGGUUCAGCUGCGGCCCGUGCUGCCAGCAUCCCAUAUGGGCGCUGGUUUGAGUCCUGGUUGUUCCACUUCCCAUCCAGCUCCCUGCUGAUGCUCCUGGGAAAGCAGUGGAGGCUGGCCCAAGUGCUUGGGCCCUGCACCCACACGGGAGACGCGGAUGGAGUUCCAGGCUCCUGGCUUAGGC